GAAUUCACACUCACUCUGCUCUUUUAAAAUGUUCACUUUUAUCACUGUGCAUUUUCCCAAGCCUUAUCCCUCAGGAUCAAAGAAAGGGCCUAGGCUUUAAUUAAUGAUCUCUCCUAUGUUUUACCAAGGGCACUGGUCUCUCGAGCUUGCAGUGGGUUGCAAGGGAUUAGAGGGUGUAUUUGCAGCAAAACUUCUGUACCGGCACUCGCUCUGUAUAUAUAGUCUCUUCCAAUCUGCUUUUAGAGAUCUUUUCUUUCUGACUGUUUGCAGGAGGACAUGGCACGCUGUGGCAUAUUCUGCCUGAUGUCUCUGGAGGCAUAGUUGGUGCCCAUCCCACUUUUUAUUAACUCUCUUGGUUGAAAACACAGCCCAGAAGACAUGUUGGGACUUCAUAAGCACAGCCUAAGGAGGAACAUUGGAAGGUACAACAUUGUACAUGUGGCCACCCUGCCCCAACGCAGUCACACCUCUGUGCUGGUCCUCCUGCGAGCUCCCCAGAGCAUGGGGUCCCUUGAGGUUCUUUGUGGCAUGCGGUAGGGGGCUCGAUCCUCAGCUUCCUUGACUUGGCCAUUGUUCAGGAUGGAAAUUACCGAUCCGGGAAAAGUUUUAUUUGAGGUUACUGUUUACAGCUUGAAGCUCAUGGAAGUGCAGUCUGCUCUCCUGUGGACUUUGUGGGUUUUUCCUAAAUGGGUCCAACCCAUCAGCUUGGCAUUUGGGGCACUAUUGUUUUGAAGCAACUUCCUUGUGAGUUUAGUCUCACCUCCUACCCCUUGCCCAUUGCUCUCUAACCUGGGUUCCUGUUUCUUCUUUUGGGACUCUUAUAUUCUUCCCUCCUGAAAUCUGCCUCAGUCUCUCCUUCUGGAAUAAUCUCUCUUCUCCUCUGACCUCUCCUAGUAUUUGUUUUUUCUUUGGAAGGCACCUUAUCCCCUUUAUUUUAUGGUAACUUCCUGGAGAGCAGGAGCAGUACUUGUUCUCUUUUGUGCUUGUCAUGUUGCUUAAAACACAUGAGUGUUUUAAGCAGUGAGAGACAAACACAUGAGUCUCAAUAGGGUCUUUAUCCAAUCAUGGCAUUGGAAACUAUGGACUUCAGUGACAGAUGUUAUGUGCUAGGUUUCAGAAUGCCUUUAAGGUGGGAAAACAUUUUGUAUCAUUUUCAACAUUUGUAUCAGUUUGAAAUCUGCCUGCUAAGUAACAAUAAAAAAGUUAGCAACAUAAUUUAUGUUUAAAAGGAAGUGUUCUGGGGUGAUGUUCGAGUUGGAAACUUGCCCUAUGCUUUACUGCAUUGUGAUCUUCAGCAAGAUAUUUUAGUUCUCCAGAUUUCCGCUUUCCCAGCUGUAAAAGGAGACAACAAUAUGAAUUUCAGUGAACAUAAAAAGCACCCAUUAUUUUAUACAUUGCAAAGAAAGAAAAAUUGCUGUCAAUUAAGCAGUAACAGUGCUUUCUAUGGUUUAGAAUUUUUAUCUUAUACUUAACUGAUAUAGCUCUUUUAGAUGUAUUUAGGCUUUUGAAAAAUCACAUAUCACUCAUUAAAAAGGAAAAUAAAUUGGUUAAGGUUUUCCUUGGCAUCUUCUUCUUCAUUCUGAGUCUUCCGAAACACAUUUGGACUCAAUGUUGUCGAGGUUUGUGUUUCCCCACACGUCAUCAUCCUGUGAACCAUUGAAGUUGAUGGGAGGCAACUUUUUCUCCCCCAAGAAUAAAGAGUUUUCUGUAGGAUUGUCUGCCAAACUGCUAACACCUUUCUUCAAGUUUUGAAUGCUGGUGCUUUCCCAGUCUUACAAAUCCACAUCAACACAAGAUUUUCAGGCAACAGCCAGUACGCAGAUGGUCCUAAAAUAGUUUGUACAUUGAAACACCAGGGGGUUGCAGAUGGUCAGCCAGGCCAGGGAAAAUAAUCCAGUUAUAACCACUGCAUCCUGACCACUUCCUGGCUGAUGGUGAUUGUAGGACACAUCCCUGUUUCAGAGAUGUUAAAAUGUAAAAUAAUAAUAAUAAUAAUAAUAAUAAUAAUAUAAGAUAUAACCUGUUUCCUAAAGUUGUGAUGACAUUUAAAGGUGAGAAAGUUUGUAGCUAUUAUUGUGAUUAUGGUUACUAUAAAUUCUGAGAAAACACAGUGGGGUUUUCUAAUUAACACUAACUAAUUUAUGGGACACUCAUUAAUGUUAUAUAUUUAUUUAUUGUUCAAUGUUCAUGCUUAAAAAUUUCUUAAUUUUUCCUCUUUUUAAUUGAGGUAUGGUUUAUAUUCAGUGGAAUGCACAGGUCUUAAGUGUUUACAGUUCUUGAAUUUUGACACCUGUGUUACGAACAGCCCUACCAAGAGAUAGAACAGUCUCAUCACUCAAGAAACAACACCCUAUCUUGUCCCAGUCAUCAUCGUCCCUCCUCUGUUCUGAUAUCUUCUACCAUGGAUUAAUUUUGGCUGUUCUAGAACUUAAUGGAAUCAUGUGGCACUACUCUUUUGCAUCUUUUCUAAAGACAUGUACAUGUUGGCUGGGCGCGGUGGCUCACGCCUGUAAUCCCAGCACUUUGGAAGGCUGAGGUGGGUGGAUCACGAGGUCAGGAGUUUGAGAACAGUCUGGCCAACAUGGUGAAACCCCGGCUCUACUAAAAAAUACAAAAAUUAACUGGGCGUGGUGGUGGGCACUUGUAAUCCUAGCUACUUGGGAGGCUGAGGCAGGAGAAUAGUUUCAAACUGGAAGGUGGAGGUUGCAGUGAGCUGAGAUCGUACCACUGCACUCCAGCCUGGGCAACAAGAACAAAACUCUGUCUCAAAAAAAAAAAAAAGAAAGAAAGAAAAAGACACAUACAUGUUGCUGCAUGUAUGACGAGUUUGUUUCUUUUUAUUGCUGAGUAGUCUUUCAUUGCAUAGCUAUAGUAUUAUUUUUGCAUCUUCCUGCUGAUGGAUAUUUAGGUUGCUUCCAGUAUGGGGCUGGCUCUCAGGCAUAAGACACUGUGACCAUUUAUUUGAGUGCAAAUAUUUUUGAUGACAUGUUUUCAUUUCUUUUGUGUAAAUGCCUGGAAGUAGAAUUGUUGGAUUAAAGGGUAGGUAUACAUUGAACUUUAUGAGAAACUGGCAGAACUUUUCUUGAAGGGACCAUUUUACAUGCGUGAGAGUUCCAGUUGCUCCAUACCCUUGUGAAUGUUGACAUUUUUAGUUGAGUUAAUUUGAAACAUUUGAGUGGGCUUGUAGUGGAAUAUUUAUGGUUUUAAUUUUUCUUUUCUUAAUGAUUAAUGAUGUCAAAUGUUUUUUCAUAUGCUUAUUAGCCAUUUGUGCGUCUACUUUGUAAAAUGCCUGUUAAGUCAUUUGACCAUUUUUCAAUGGCACCAUUUGUGUUUUAAUUGUCAAGUUGUAGUAUUCAAUUCCUUGUCAGUUAAACAUAAUGCAAUGAUUUUCUCCAAGUCUGUGACUUGUCGUCUCAUUUUUUAGUUGUGUCUUUUGAUGAGAAGUUUUUAAUUUUGAUAAAGCCCAUUUAUCCUUUUUAAAAUAGUGUUUUCUGUAUCUUAUCUGAAGUUCUUGCCUACUCCAAAGUCAAUCAAAUAUUCAUUUUUUUUUUGUAGAAGCUUUAUAGUUUUAACUUUUACAUGUAGGCCUGUGAUCCACCUUUAAUUAAAUUUUUGUGUGGUUUGAGGUAUGAAUCAAGGUUAAUAUUUUUUCCAUGUAGAUAGCUAGUUGUUCCAGCACCAUUUAUUGAAAAUACUUUCUUUUCCUCAUUGACUUGCUUUGGCACUUUGGUUGGCUGUAUAUGUGUUAAUCCACUCCUGGACUGUUUAUUCUAUUCCAUCGAUCUGUUUGUCUAUGUAUAUUCAAUGCCAUAUUACCUUGAUUUAUAGUGGCUUUAGCAUUAGUCUUGAAACCAAGACUCACUUUUUAAGGAUUGCUUUGGUCAUCCUCCUCCUCCUCUUCCUUCUUCUUCUUUCUUCCUAUUCUUCUUCAUUCUUCUUCGUCUUCUCCUUCCUUCCCUCCCUCCCUCUUUCACCUCCUCCUCCUCCUUCUUCUUCUUUCUCCCUCUCCUUCUUUGAGGUGGGGACUUGCUAUGUUGCCCAGACAAGAGUGUAGUGCCUGUUCAAAAGUGCAAUCAUAGUGCACUACAGCCUCAAACUCAUGGGCUCAUUCUUCUAGAUUUUAUUUGUUUAGAUAUGAAGUCUCACUCUGUUGCUCAAGCUGGAGUGCAGUGGCAGGAUCUCAGCUCGCUGCAACCUACACCUCCUGGGUUUAAGUGAUUCUCCUGCCUCAGCCUCUUGAGUAGCUGGGAUUACAGGUGCUUACCACUGUGCCAGAUUAAUUUUUAUAUUUUUAGUAGAGAUAGGGUUUCGCCAUGUUGGCCAGGCUGGUCUUGAACACCUGACCUCAAGGGACCCACCACCUCGGCCUCCCAAAAUGCUGGGAUUACAGGUGUGAGCCACCAUGCCCAGCUCACUCUUAGACGUUUUAGAAUAAGCACAUAAAUUUCUACAAAAGAACCUCAUAACAUUUUGAUUGGAAUUAUAUUAAAUCAAUGAAUCAAUGUGGGGAAAAUUGAAAUCUUACCAAUAUUGAACUUCCAGUGUAUGUAUACAGUGUAUCUUUUAAAUUAUUUGUCUUUAAUUUGUCUCAGCAGUUUUUGAAAAAUAGUUUUCACUGUAGAGCUCUUGCACAUAUUUAAAGAAAGUAUCCCUCAGUAUUAUGAGAUUUAAAAUAUUUUGUAAAUUGUAUUUUUUAAAAAAUCAUCUUCUAGUUUUUUGUUAUUUAGACAUAAGAUUGAUGUUUGUACAUUGACCUUGUAUCCUGCAAUCUUGCUACAUUUAAUUUAUCAUAUAUUUUUCUCAGUGCUUUACAGAAUUUCUUGUUUAUUCUUGUAACUACCUAUGAGUCAGGUGUUAUUGCAAUUAUAUUUUAUAAGAAAUUUGCCCCAGAUGUGCUAAUUUUCUUGCUCCAGGUCACACAGUUUGAGUAACAGGGGAGGAAUUUAAUUUAGGUCAACUCUGAUUAUAUGGCCCAGUCCCCUUCCACACUGCUAUAAUAUGUCAUCUCUUUGACAUUUGUAUAUUAUUGGAAUGGAGUGACACAUUGUGGUUUCUCUGGAUUCCACUGGGACAUUUUUGGGUCAUCAUACUUUACGGGAGAUGGCUUCACCAAUGGAACUCCUAAAAUGGACAUAACAAGAAUAAGGUGAUAAAAAAGACGGUGAUUUUUCCAGUUUAAGGAGAGCAAUAUUUUUCCAGGUUCUUUCCCCAGAGGACUGCUAAGGAAAUUGUACAUAAUCUCAAAGUGCAGUUUCUUUGCCCAUGCUGUGAAUGUACAUUAGCUGCUGCUAGAUCUUCCAUGUGUGUGGAUGCUGUAAAGCUUGUUUUCCCUUCUUCUCUCCCACAACGUGCUGUAGGAAACCAUUUCUGGACGGCUAAAGACCUCACCGAGGAGAUUAGAUCAUUAACAUCAGAGAGAGAAGGGCUGGAGGGACUCCUCAGCAAGCUGUUGGUGUUGAGUUCCAGGAAUGUCAAAAAGCUGGGAAGUGUUAAAGAAGAUUACAACAGACUGAGAAGAGAAGUGGAGCACCAGGAGACUGCCUAUGGUAGGUAGUGCACAACUGUUCCCCGGCAAGAUAUUGAUGAUAUUUGUUGUGUUUUGUGGCCAGGCAGAAUGUUCUGUGCCUUAUGUGAACGUCACUGUGAAGAGCGUCAUGGAGCACAUGGCCCUUUUCCUUGGGGACAUUUUUGGCAGGUGCCUUGGCAAACCGAAUGGAAUUACUUGUCAGCUUUUGUUUUCAUAUUCACAUGUGACAUCUUUUCUUUUUCUGUUCCCUGUCUCAACCUGUGUUUGCUAAUAGCCUUGUUAUUAUUUAGAGCAGUCUCUCCCUUGGCAAGGUCUUGAGCAUUUUCUUUGUGUGACAAUUAUCUUCCUUUUGUCCCUUGGCUCCGUCUCCUUGUCUGCACAAUCAUAGACUAAAUCAGGCUGAUCUGAGAAAAUUGAGGGAAGACCAUAAAGUGGCUCUUCUAUGUGUGGACUUUUCUGAGAGCUUCUUUCCCCAGGAAGGAUGAUGUAGAAGAUGUGAAUGCCGCCUUAGCCAAAGUGUCUGCUUGUCAGAGGAGUUCAAGUGUUCCUGUGUUCUUUCCUUUUCCAGUCGUUAGGAGUAACUGAGCUUACUCUGAGAUUUGCACCCAGAGGGAUGGUCUCAGAAGACGCUGGUUCAGUGCAAAUUGAGAUGGUAAAAACUUAUUUCUUAAAAAAUGGUUCCUAAAUAAAUGUCAUUUACUAAAACAAAUGAAAGAAAUAUAUAUAUGAAUAAAUGGCUAUAUUUUACAAAGUAUGCUUAUUUAAGAAGAAAUAAGAAAAAACGGGGCUGAUAGGAACCAGAUUUGAAAUAGGGCUUUUGUAAAUACUCCGUAAAUUGAAGUAAAUGAAGAGUAGUAUUUAUAAGCUAGAUUGAGAAAUAUAAAAUCAGCUAGCUGAAGUUAAGUGCAUCAAUUUGGGAUGAAUAAAUUUUCUUUUAAAAUGUCUAUCAAUUUGUGUAGAGAGAGGUUUCUUCAUAGAGAUAUUAGAAUCAAAGAGUAUGUUCAGUAGUUAUUCUGUCUUCUUUGUAAUGAAUACCCUUAAGUUGGCUUAACAGCUCAGUACUUAUCUUUUUUUCUUUUCAUUCUUAAAGGUCAAGCCUUGUUUUUGCCGUAUAUGUAACUAGAGACAGUACGUUUGAGGCUAAAUAACUGUAGUACUAGGGAAUGACAACACGCUCACCCAAGACACCGCAGCCUGGUUUACUCUGUCAUGAUAGGAAUGAGGAUUGUACAUUUGAAAUAGGUUUCUGCUAUUGAUUUUUUAAAUGUAUAAACGAUGGAAACUACGGAAUUUCUCAUGUUUUCACCACAUAGUUUUUUGUCAUAAAAUGAAGAAUAUAUUAUAUCCAAGAAUGAAGAGGAAGUGAACAAAUUUGAGCAAAUUUAGUCCAGCAAUAUUUUCAUUUGAAUAGUUGAGCCCCUGAAAGCCAUUAAUAUCUCUUUUUAAAAAAAGAACCAUGCAGUAUUUUUGAAUCUCAUCAUCGUCACUUCACUAAGUAUUUUCACAAUGAUGAAUAAAACAUAAACAAAUGGAAUGAGAGAUUGUUACCAUGGAUGAUUCUAAAUUGCAGAUGGCUCAUUACUGUUGUGAAGCCUCUCUUUAUGUUUUUACACUUGGAUUUUGCUGGAUCAGCCACCCUUUCCCUAUACAUUGAUUUACACGUGCUUAAUUUUUUUUAACCAAUUUGAGGUGAGUUGGCUUUAGGUGAACCAAAUUAAUAAUCUAGGGUUGAGAGUGUGGGAAACAAAUAAAUAAUGAAUUC
rnacentral:lncRNA from 1 species